CAGGCAAGAGGGAAGGAGCUCUCUGUCAUGGGAGAGAGGAGAAGCCUGAUGCAGGAGCAGCAUUUGAUACGGCUGUGAGAUGAAGAAUCCCUGAUUAAUACAACUAACAACCCCAGCUUCAAAAAGAACUUUAAUAAAGACUACAAACAAAUUUCAGAAGCUGACCUACAGUAAAUUGUGUUUUAAAUUACAAGAGAUAUCAAGUACCUACAACUCCCAGUGACCUCACUGAAAAUUGCAAGUGACCAAUACCAGCCAAGAUCUGGCUGCAUUCAGGGAACCAACCCCGGACAGAUUACCAUCUUCCUGAAAUGGGACUGAUUUGCUGAGUAGCCUUAUGGAUCAAACACAGACCCAAGCCAUGAAAUAUGACUCCCAGCAGAAAACAAGGACAGCAGACAAGCGGAGUGUGAACCAGAGAUGCACUUGUAUAUUCUGAACCCUGCUACAGAUGCUACUGGCACCUUGUUUCAACACUGCCAAUUACAAUAGAAAAUGCUGAGAAGUUCCUUUCCUGCGUCCCCUUCCCUGC